UAGGGAAUCUUCCACAAUGGACGCAAGUCUGAUGGAGCAACGCCGCGUGAGUGAAGAAGGUUUUCGGAUCGUAAAGCUCUGUUGUUGGUGAAGAAGGAUAGAGGUAGUAACUGGCCUUUAUUUGACGGUAAUCAACCAGAAAGUCACGGCUAACUACGUGCCAGCAGCCGCGGUAAUACGUAGGUGACAAGCGUUGUCCGGAAUUAUUGGGCGUAAAGCGAGCGCAGGCGGAGGAAUAAGUCUGAUGUGAAAGCCCUCGGCUUAACCGAGGAACUGCAUCGGAAACUGUUUUUCUUGAGUGCAGAAGAGGAGAGUGGAACUCCAUGUGUAGCGGUGGAAUGCGUAGAUAUAUGGAAGAACACCAGUGGCGAAGGCGACUCUCUGGUCUGCAACUGACGCUGAGGCUCGAAAGCAUGGGUAGCGAACAGG
rnacentral:rRNA from 1 species